rnacentral:lncRNA from 1 species
CUAUCUAGAUCUACUCUAGUUUAGAGAAGAGAGGAGAGCUCUCAUCUCUAAACCCUAGCUUUUGCUCUGUCUAUGAAUAAUGAAUAAUGAUCAAGGGGUGCCUCCUCCAGGGGCCAGGGGGUCUGGUUAUAUAGUCCCCUCAAGUGAACCUGGGCCGUCGGAUCAAACCGACAUUGAUUGAAUGGUUAUUCUUGAUCCUUUAGGUCGGUGGAGCAUAAUCUGCGAGGUUGAACGUGAUUGGCCACUGUAGCAGGGCGGGCGCCCUAAGGACUUGGGCGGGCGCCCAGGUCCUGGCUUCGUUCGGCCUCCGCUUCCUUCCCGUGGCUUCUGGAGUCUUCUAGAUGUAAAAUAAUUGCGCAGCACAUUGAUAUCUCUAUGUAAUCCUGACGUGUGGACCUUUCUUCCGUAAUUCCUGAUAACCCCCUGUAGAAAUAGACAAACACCAAAACUCGUGGAAUUCUGUCACAUAAAACCCUAAGUCUAGAUGUUGAUUUCAUUUAGAUCUUUUUCUUUGUUUAUUUGAUAAUUAAAUUUGAUACUUAAGGACCGUCAACAAACUCCCCCAAUCUUACUCUUGCUCGUCCCUGAGCAAGGAUAGACUCAGCAAUGGAUC